CCAAUAGCGUAUAUUAAAGUUGUUGCAGUUAAAAAGCUCGUAGUUGAAUUUCGGGAUCAGUAUGUUGGUCGUGCUUCGGUACGUACUGUCAUUACUGGUUUCUACCUUCUGAAGAACCUUGAUGUCAUUAAUUUGGUGUCUUGGGGAAUCAGGACUGUUACUUUGAAAAAAUUAGAGUGUUUAAAGCAAGCAUACGCUUGAAUACAUUAGCAUGGAAUAAUGAAAUAGGACGUUUGAUUCUAUUUUGUUGGUUUCUAGGAUCGACGUAAUGAUUAAUAGGGAUAGUUGGGGGCAUUAGUAUUCAAUUGUCAGAGGUGAAAUUCUUGGAUUUAUUGAAGACUAACUACUGCGAAAGCAUUUGCCAAGGAUGUUUUCAUUAAUCAAGAACGAAAGUUAGGGGAUCGAAGACGAUCAGAUACCGUCGUAGUCUUAACCAUAAACUAUGCCGACUAGGGAUCGGAUGAUGUUAUUUUUAAUGACUCAUUCGGCGCCUUACG
rnacentral:sRNA from 1 species